rnacentral:rRNA from 1 species
GAUGAACGCUGGCGGCGUGCCUAAUACAUGCAAGUCGAGCGAACGGACGAGAAGCUUGCUUCUCUGAUGUUAGCGGCGGACGGGUGAGUAACACGUGGAUAACCUACCUAUAAGACUGGGAUAACUUCGGGAAACCGGAGCUAAUACCGGAUAAUAUUUUGAACCGCAUGGUUCAAAAGUGAAAGACGGUCUUGCUGUCACUUAUAGAUGGAUCCGCGCUGCAUUAGUUAGUUGGUAAGGUAACGGCUUACCAAGGCAACGAUGCAGAGCCGACCUGAGAGGGUGGUCGGCCACACGGGAACUGAGACACGGUCCAGACUCCUACGGGAGGCAGCAGUAGGGAAUCUUCCGCAAUGGGCGAAAGCCUGACGGAGCAACGCCGCGUGAGUGAUGAAGGUCUUCGGAUCGUAAAACUCUGUUAUUAGGGAAGAACAUAUGUGUAAGUAACUGUGCACAUCUUGACGGUACCUAAUCAGAAAGCCACGGCUAACUACGUG